ACAUACGACCAUACCCACUGGAGAACUCGGGAUCCCGUCCGCUCUCCCUUAGAUAAGCCAGUGAGGGCCGGAUUAGAAGCUGGGUCGGUGACGACCAGCGAAUACCUGGUGUUGUAUGUC
rfam:Colletotrichum orbiculare MAFF 240422 contig06832, whole genome shotgun sequence.